UCCUCCUGGCUGCCACCCCUGUCCGUCUCUCCGGGUUACUCUCCAGGGAGCCGGGAGCCGCUUCAGGUUGCAAUCUGCGAUGCAACGGCGCCUUUGUUUGACUCCAGCCUUGUUUUGCCUCAUACCUUAUCCUCCUAUUUAGAGUACCUCAGCACCUCAUGGGCUCCGCUUCACCAGUUCCUCAAUCAGUCAAUGCCUCUGACUUCUAGCCGCCAUCCCUCCCAGUGGAUACUUUAAGCAGGCAAGCAAACCAAACAAACGCCCAGCACGCUUGCAUGCAGCAAUCUCCGUUUUCCGGUCUUUGGUCGCAUGACUUGACCUCAGCGUAUCCCCUACACUUGAUCUUCACACACAGCUUCAUAGGUUAAGACACUUUUUUUCCAGAGAAAUCAUACUUUCUAUCUGCGAUUGUGGAACUGCGAUUGCUCUAAGCCCUUGAAAACAGUUUCCUCACCAUGAAAGCUUGGGCCAAAAAUUAGAAGUGAAACCCAGCCCUCCCUCUGUCUUCUACUCUUGGCCUACCUUGGCCCUAUACUUUAUCAUCCAUAAACCAAAACAGUCGCCUGGCCUGACAAUGUUUGAUCGGGGAAGUUUGAGUUGGGGAAUUAACCUACAACCUGACAGAAUGAGGCCCGCCCGUCUCUAACAGAGUUCAAAACCUCCUGAAGAUGAAAGUAACUUCAAAACUAACUCAGACCAUUUUAACGGUUUUGCUUACAAUUACCAGAACUACAUUUCUUUGAAAAUUUGAUUUAGCAAUCGUAAACAAGCUGUACUGUUUGCUGACUAUAGCGUAUCUACUGGCAAGUUACCAGUAUUAAUGUGUUGUCCAUAACAAACCUCGGAUUAAUGUUAUUGUUAAUCUGUUUAAUUGAAGAGUUUAACUUCAUAUCUAACUUCAUCUACUAUGAAAUCAGUUACCUUCAGGAAGCAGGAUUCCUCCUACUCUCCACUCACAUGAAGGACCAGUGUCUGUUUUGGAGGCAUGGAGUUGGAAAUGAGUUGGAGAGAUGACGGUAACAGUAGCUUCUAAAUAUGAACCUGAUGCUUAUACAACCAUUAUACCAAAAGUAAAGCUGGGACCAUCUCAUAAUGUUUGUGUACAUUCCUGUUGUCUUCUACCUCCCAUCCACCGUGUCUCUCUACUGCCUAUAACCAGCCUACAUAAGAUAAAUGUGAUUGGAGAGGAAACUAUCCCCAAUUCUCUCUUCAUUGACAUUUGGGGCUGUACCAGUUUACAUUUUCACCAACAUUCCCACCAUUGUGGUGGCCAGCAACUGAGGAGGCUGAGAUAAGUGGAUUCCCUGAGCCCAGGAG
rnacentral:lncRNA from 1 species